rnacentral:lncRNA from 1 species
AUGCAACACACACACACACGCACGCACUCCUCGCUGCCCACUCCCACCCUCCCCCCCAGUCCGAGGAGACCGAGGGCCGCCGCCGCCUUCGCCCCGGCCCUGAGCCUCUCGGACUCACCGCGGAGCCGCCGCCGCCGCCUCGCCAGCUCCCCGGCGCGAGUUGGCGGAAAAGUUGGGCGGCAGGAGGAGCGGCGGGACGGGCGCGGGGAGGGGGCGCAGAAGGCGACGCGAGCGGAGCGCAGGGAGGGGAGACAAAAGGGGGGCGCAGAGCGCUGGGGGGAGGCUGGAGGUGGAGGGGGGCGGGUAGCGAGUAGAGGGAGGCGCCGGAUCCGACUGGGCUUCGGUGCCGAGAGCGCGCAGCCAGGAGGCUCCGGCGCCGGGGGCCGCUCGGGACGCCAAGCCCGCCCCGGAUCCGGGGGCGCCGCGGCUCUUACCUCACUCGGCGCUGCGGUUCCGCCUCUGGAGAGUCCGCCGUGGCUUGUGCGGGCGGGCGGGCGCCCGCGUCCCCGGCUCCGGCCCGCCGCCCCCGGGCUCCGCUCGGGUCCUGGCUGGGCCGCGAGAGCCCGGCGGCAGGCGCUCGAGUCCCAGUGGCGCUCGGUGCGCGGCGCCUCCAGCCCGGGCGGGAACAAUGGAGCCGAGGCUGGUGCCCCGGAGGCGGGGCGGGGGGAGGGCUCCGGUCCGCCGCCCGGGGUCUCCAGACCCUGCGGCCCCCUCUCCAGAACCGGGCGGCGGCGCCUCAAGCUUCUUGCAGACUGGGUUCCAUCGCCCCGGCGCCGCGGCGCGCCCGACUGCAGCACUGGUGCGGUGCGCCCUGCGGGGCGCCCCUCGGAGCAGAGAAAAGUCCUCGGUCUCCGCUGCUCUUCCAGCUGCGGCGCGCGCUCGCGGCCGGGGAAGGCGAGGUCGCCGCAAUGCGCUAAGCAGAGUAGCGGUGCUGUCCGGACGUUGCCGCCCAGCGCCGGGCACAGCCCGGGCUCCUCCGCGCGCUGCGGCCGCCCCAGAGUUCGGGCUCCCGCUCGCCGCCGCCGCUGCCGAGGCCGCCGCACCAGUGCCCGCAGGAGCGCUCCGAGCGCUGUGCGCCGGCGAGGCGCGAGGGCUCGCUCUCUCGCUCCCACCCCGCGCUAG